rnacentral:rRNA from 1 species
GAUGAACGCUGGCGGCGUGCCUAAUACAUGCAAGUCGAGCGAACGGACGAGAAGCUUGCUUCUCUGAUGUUAGCGGCGGACGGGUGAGUAACACGUGGAUAACCUACCUAUAAGACUGGGAUAACUUCGGGAAACCGGAGCUAAUACCGGAUAAUAUUUUGAACCGCAUGGUUCAAAAGUGAAAGACGGUCUUGCUGUCACUUAUAGAUGGAUCCGCGCUGCAUUAGCUAGUUGGUAAGGUAACGGCUUACCAAGGCAACGAUGCAUAGCCGACCUGAGAGGGUGAUCGGCCACACUGGAACUGAGACACGGUCCAGACUCCUACGGGAGGCAGCAGCAGGGAAUCUUCCGCAAUGGGCGAAAGCCUGACGGAGCAACGCCGCGUGAGUGAUGAAGGUCUUCGGAUCGUAAAACUCUGUUAUUAGGGAAGAACAUAUGUGUAAGUAACUGUGCACAUCUUGACGGUACCUAAUCAGAAAGCCACGGCGAACUACGU